AGAAAAAAAUCCUUUAGCUGGAUAAGGGGCGGAUGUAGCCAAGUGGAUCAAGGCA
rnacentral:tRNA from 1 species